AAUAGAAUUAUUGGAUCAUAUGAUUAGUAUGUUUCAUUUUUUUUAGGAAAUUGCCAAACUGUUUUUCAAAGUGGCAGUGGCAUUUUAUGUUCCCCACAAUGAU
rnacentral:pre_miRNA from 1 species